rnacentral:rRNA from 1 species
UACGGGGGGGAGCAAGCGUUGUUCGGAUUUACUGGGCGUAAAGGGCGCGUAGGCGGCGCAACAAGUCACUUGUGAAAUCUCCGGGCUUAACCCGGAGCGGUCAAGUGAUACUGUCGUGCUAGAGUGCGGAAGGGGCUACUGGAAUUCUCGGUGUAGCGGUGAAAUGCGUAGAUAUCAAGAGGAACACCUGCGGCGAAGGCGGGUUGCUGGGCCGACACUGACGGCUGAGGCGCGAAAGCCAGGGACGCGAACGGG